rnacentral:misc_RNA from 1 species
GAUGAAGAACGCAGCGAAAUGCGAUAAGUAAUGUGAAUUGCAGAAUUCAGUGAAUCAUCGAAUCUUUGAACGCACAUUGCGCCCGCCAGUAUUCUGGCGGGCAUGCCUGUUCGAGCGUCAUUACAACCCUCAGGCCCCCGGGCCUGGCGUUGGGGAUCGGCGGAGCCCCCCGUGGGCACACGCCGUCCCCCAAAUACAGUGGCGGUCCCGCCGCAGCUUCCAUCGCGUAGUAGCUAACACCUCGCGACUGGAGAGCGGCGCGGCCACGCCGUAAAACACCCAACUCUUCUGAAGUUGACCUCGAAUCAGGUAGGAAUACCCGCUGAACUUAAGCAUAUCAAUAAGCGGAUGA